rnacentral:rRNA from 1 species
UACGUAGGGUGCAAGCGUUAAUCGGAAUUACUGGGCGUAAAGCGUACGUAGGCGGCUUUGUACGUUAGAGGUGAAAGCCCGGGGCUCAACUCCGGAAUUGCCUUUAAGACUGCAUCGCUUGAAUCAUGGAGAGGUGAGUGGAAUUCCGAGUGUAGAGGUGAAAUUCGUAGAUAUUCGGAAGAACACCAGUGGCGAAGGCGACUCACUGGACAUGUAUUGACGCUGAGGUACGAAAGCGUGGGGAGCAAACAGG